rnacentral:rRNA from 1 species
UACAGAGGGUGCGAGCGUUAAUCGGAAUUACUGGGCGUAAAGCGCGCGUAGGCGGCUUUGCAAGUCGGGUGUGAAAUCCCCAGGCUUAACCUGGGAACUGCACUCGAGACUGCAUUGCUAGAGUAUGGGAGAGGGAAGUGGAAUUUCCGGUGUAGCGGUGAAAUGCGUAGAUAUCGGAAGGAACAUCAGUGGCGAAAGCGACUUCCUGGACCAAUACUGACACUCAGGUGCGAAAGCGUGGGUAGCAAACAGG